rnacentral:misc_RNA from 1 species
ACAAACUUGGUCAUUUAGAGGAAGUACAAGUCGUAACAAGGUAUCCGUAGGUGAACCUGCGGAUGGAUCAUUACCGAGUGAUUUUGUUUGUAAUGUGAAUUGUUGAUUGUUUGGUUGGUGGGUUUUGUGUGCCUUGGUGUAUUUGAUGCGCUUUGGUAUGUUGAUUUACUUUGGUGUAUUUGAUGCGCUUUGGUAUAUUUGAUUUACUUUGGUAUAUUGAUUUACUUUGGUAUGUUGAUGUGCUUUGGUAUAUUUGAUUUGCUUUGGUAUAUCGAUGUCCCUUUGUAUAUCGAUGUCCCUUGGUGCUUCUCCGAUGCCCAUACACCAAAACCACCAGCCUUUGUACGUACACUAUGCAAGCCUGAGUCCAUUCACUGAAUGAUAAAACAACUUUUAGCAAUGGAUCUCUUGGCUCUCGCAUCGAUGAAGAACGCAGC